UUUCUUUUGAACCGUGACGCUGUCCGAGAACAGUGACUCUCGACAUUGCUGAGUGCUUUUUUCAGAAAUUUUUCGUCGAAAAAGCCUUAUGGAGUCUGAGCUUCAUGUGUUGCGUGCACGUUAUCGCUGACUUCAUUGACUUGUCAUGAAGAUGCAUCCUAGAGAAGGUUCUAUCAUAUUGAAUGACAAAUGAGAUGAAAAGAGGAAAUCUGGAAAAGUUGUUAAAAGUUGCCAGUUUGAAUCAUCAGUGGGCAAGCAUUUUGCUAAUCUGUAGUCGACUAUGGAUGUGACACAUAUUCUGUGUUUUGAAUACGAGUUGUAUAUUACAUUUUUGAUAAAGAAAGAAUCCGACACCUACUUGUUUUCAAGAUUCCUUGAUCAGUUCGGUGUUUGAGCUGUUGAUGGUGUUGUCUGGUGCGAAUCUUGCAGUCAUUUUCCAUCUGAGAGCUUCCCUGUAAUGGAACUUGUAUUAACUUGCAGUCGGACUUAAGUGUUAUGGUGGUGCUCAUGUAUUCAUGGACCGUUAAUCGAACUGUUUUGUUGGGUCUGUUUGGGGUGCAGUGGUUUUCCAGUUGCGAGAUGCGUAGCAGUGGAGCUUAAGCAGAUAACUUGUUUAAUAGUUUCAGAGUUUGUUCACCAGCGGUCAACACCCUAGUGUUGGCAACAUGGCAAACUUUUGUCGCCGACGUCAUUUCUAUUCCUGGUGCUGUCAAUUCCGGUGUUCGUGAACAGUGCCGUCAAACAUUCUUCUUCACAGAUAUCCCCAAAAUUUUUUUAGGGAAUUCUUGGUAUACCUAUAUUUCCAUCUUGUCACUUGUAGAUUCAUUAAUAAAAAUUAAAUGCUGAGGUUUUUGAAGAACAUUGAAGAAAUUUCAGCCUAUUCCUAGAUUUUCUACAUUCUUUGGGUCUUGCCUGUGAUACACAUCUGUUCUUGUCAUUUAAAGUCUUUUCCCUGUAGGUUUUGUUGUUUGUUCAAUGGAAAGUAAUAGGAAUGAUGUACUUAAUUAACAUUGCCACUUAACACUUUUUCAUUUGGUAAUAAUGCUUCUUUUCAAGUAGGAUUAAUUGCUUGGUCAAGCUGAGCUUUUUCAAGGCUGUUCAAUUUCCACUGCAAUAUGUUGCAGCCAGUUGGUUGAUGGUGUGGUGAACUGUUGUAUGAAGACCAUGCGCUGUUAUGAGCUUCUGGAUACAAUCCGGUGCUGGUGUGGGGAAUUGUUGAUGCUGUCUGUGGAGUUUGGGCUUGAAAUUUUUAAGAGUUCACUGCCUUAACAAUUGAGUGCAAAUAUCCAGUCAGUUAGAUGUCUGACUUUAAUUGAUGUCUCUAUUUGGUGUGUAUUUCAUAUUUGGGUGGUUAGCCAGAUUUUGAAUGGGAGUUAAAGUCAAAUUGAGCUGCACGUUCUGCAAGCGAUCUUCAUUGCUGAUGUCAUCCUGAAGUGUAAAAUCAAUGAAGUCAUCUUGAAAUGGUCUUGGCUAUGAAGUUAUUAUCAUCAAUCCUCUGCAUGCAGUUGUUAUCAAAAGUUGGAGAAGUAAGACGGCAAAGCUGCCAGAAAAAGAAAUGGUCUCUACGGAAAUGUGCAGCGGUUUUGCAGUCCGACUUUGUUCAAGCUGUUGCUUUCCUGAAUUUUGCUAGUCUUUGAAGUAGCUGAACCUGAAGUUAUGAUGCUGGUGUUAUCCUGAAAUAGCUGUUGUUGGUGCUAUCAAAUUACUGUGGCAGUGCAAUUCGGUUAUAUUAUAUCUAUAUAGUAUGUGAUUGUAGUAACCUUAAGCUAUUUCGUCACCCAUUGUGUCAUGUUGCAAUCUGACGUUUGUAUUGUUUAAACAACAGUUGUGCUACUGAUAUUAUCCUCACCCAUAUCUAGAAAUAAUGUUAUGUCAAAGUUAACUUGCAAUAUUUCGAUGUGCGUUGGAAAUUUAAGCUCGAUAUAUUUUCACAAAUUAUAAAAUAAAUAAAAACAAAACCAACUUUA